rnacentral:rRNA from 1 species
GACGAACGCUGGCGGCGUGCCUAAUACAUGCAAGUAGAACGCUUAAGAGAGGAGCUUGCUCUUCUUGGAUGAGUUGCGAACGGGUGAGUAACGCGUAGGUAACCUGCCUUGUAGCGGGGGAUAACUAUUGGAAACGAUAGCUAAUACCGCAUAACAAUGGAUGACACAUGUCAUUUAUUUGAAAGGGGCAAUUGCUCCACUACAAGAUGGACCUGCGUUGUAUUAGCUAGUAGGUGAGGUAACGGCUCACCUAGGCGGCGAAUCAUAGCCGAGCUGAAAGGGUGGUUGGCCCACCUGGGAAUGAGACCACGCCCAGGCUCCCACGGGAAGCAGCAGUAGGGGAUCUUCGGCAAUAGGGGCAACCCUGACCGAGCAACGCCGCGUGGGUGAAGAAGGUUUUCGGGUCGGAAAGCUCUGUUGUAAGUCAAGAAAGAGCGUGAGAGUGGAAAGUUCACACUGUGACGGUAGCUUACCAGAAAGCGACGGCUAACUACGUG